AUUGAACGCUGGCGGCAGGCUUAACACAUGCAAGUCGAGCGGGCGAGGUUGCUUCGGUAACUGAGCUAGCGGCGGACGGGUGAGUAAUGCUUAGGAAUCUGCCUAUUAGUGGGGGGACAACAUUCCGAAAGGAAUGCUAAUACCGCAUACGCCCUACGGGGAAAGCAGGGGAUCUUCGGACCUUGCGCUAAUAGAUGAGCCUAAGUCAGAUUAGCUAGUUGGUGGGGUAAAGGCCUACCAAGGCGACGAUCUGUAGCGGGUCUGAGAGGAUGAUCCGCCACACUGGGACUGAGACACGGCCCAGACUCCUACGGGAGGCAGCAGUGGGGGAAUUUUUGGACAAUGGGCGGAAGCCUGAUCCAGCCAUGCCGCGUGAGUGAAGAAGGCCUCGGUUGUAAGACUCUUUCGGUCGGGGAAGGAAAUUAGCAC
rnacentral:rRNA from 1 species